CAGACUCUGCGCUCUUCAGCAGGGGCUUGAUCUUGAAGAACAGCUUCAUCCAGGGCCAGUGCUUGACAUUCAUGAAUGAACGAACGUUGUACUGGAUGCAGAAGAUGGAUUCCCUGAAGCAUAAUUGAAACGUACAUUUGAUUAUUUUGUGUGAUAUGAUCCUCAGCAUUUCCCCCAAAAUACAGUGUCUUUAACUGAAGAUGGGGAACACCUACCUCCUCUCCACCAUUCUCUGGUACUCCACUCUCAUCAGGAAGCCUCUGCACCUGGCCUGUGUGCGAGUGAUGAGCUGUGCCAGCUUCUCAUCUCUCAUCUCCUCCAGGAGUCCCAGCAGCCCAGCUUUGAAGAACACCUUGGUGUGACCAAAUUUGUACUGGGUGUGGUCCACAUCAAUUGACCCAAGAAGCUUCUCAGAAGCUUUCUUGCUAUCAAUGAACUGUCCCUCAGGGAUGGCACUGGCAUUAAGCACCUUGUACCUGUGAGAAGCAAAAGAGGAAGUUAAGGCUGUUCUUCCCAAAUCUCGACAUUACUUACAGUCAUGCUAAAAGGCCGAGUACUCUUACCUCUGUUUAAAGUCUGCAUAGAGGACUCUGCUGGGGAAGCCUUUCCUGCAAAUCCUGAUCCCCUCCAGCACGCCGUUACAGCGCAGCUGGUGCAGCACCAGUUCAUGCUCCAUGGCACCUAACAAUUAAUUUUGCAAAUGAAUAUCACUGUUCCCACCAUCGAGGGAAGUCACUUCAGUAUCUCUGCUGGAGCAUCUUACCAGGUGUUUUUGUUUCAUUUGGGAUGAUGCAGCGGACAAAAUGAGGGUGAGUACUCCGUAGGUUGGUCAUCAGUUUGUUUAGGUUCUCCUGUGGGACCAGAAAUUGGUAUUUGUUUAAACAAAAGCUUUUAUUCUCACUCUUAGAUUCCUUCAACUCACCAUUAAAGGUUCACACACCUAAUAAUGGAUAUGUACUUGCCCGAAACUGUUGCAAAAUUAGUUUAAUUCUAAUUUGCAGAGAUAAAAACAAACAAACAAACAAAAAAGGCAAAGAAAGAUUUAAAAAAAAUAAUAAAAUUCUUACCCGAAAAAGAGCUGAGACAGUCUGGAAAGAAGACCCCUUCUUCUUACCACCCUUCUUGCCACCACCACCACUAGCCUCUGAU
rnacentral:lncRNA from 1 species